rnacentral:rRNA from 1 species
GGCGGCGUGCUUAACACAUGCAAGUCGAACGAUGAAGCUCCAGCUUGCUGGGGUGGAUUAGUGGCGAACGGGUGAGUAAUACGUGAGUAACCUGCCCUUGACUCUGGGAUAAGCGUGGGAAACUGGGUCUAAUACUGGAUACUACACAUUCUCGCAUGGGGGUGUGUGGAAAGGGUUUUACUGGUUUUGGAUGGGCUCACGGCCUAUCAGCUUGUUGGUGGGGUAAUGGCCUACCAAGGCGACGACGGGUAGCCGGCCUGAGAGGGUGACCGGCCACACUGGGACUGAGACACGGCCCAGACUCCUACGGGAGGCAGCAGUGGGGAAUAUUGCACAAUGGGCGAAAGCCUGAUGCAGCGACGCCGCGUGAGGGAUGACGGCCUUCGGGUUGUAAACCUCUUUCAGCACGGAAGAAGCGAAAGUGACGGUACGUGCAGAAGAAGCGCCGGCUAACUACGUGCCAGCAGCCGCGGUAAUACGUAGGGCGCAAGCGUUGUCCGGAAUUAUUGGGCGUAAAGAGCUCGUAGGCGGUUUGUCGCGUCUGCUGUGAAAGCCCGGGGCUUAACCCCGUGGUGUGCAGUGGGUACGGGCAGACUAGAGUGCAGUAGGGGAGACUGGAAUUCCUGGUGUAGCGGUGAAAUGCGCAGAUAUCAGGAGGAACACCGAUGGCGAAGGCAGGUCUCUGGGCUGUUACUGACGCUGAGGAGCGAAAGCAUGGGGAGCGAACAGGAUUAGAUACCCUGGUAGUCCAUGCCGUAAACGUUGGGCACUAGGUGUGGGGGACAUUCCACGUUUUCCGCGCCGUAGCUAACGCAUUAAGUGCCCCGC